rnacentral:rRNA from 1 species
ACAGUGGACGCGAGCAUCUGUGGCCAAGUUUUUAAGGGCGCACGGUGGAUGCCUUGGCACCAGGAACCGAUGAAGGACGUGGGAGGCCACGAUAGUCCCCGGGGAGUCGUCAACCAGGCUUUGAUCCGGGGGUUUCCGAAUGGGGAAACCCGGCAGUCGUCAUGGGCUGUCACCCGCUGCUGAACACAUAGGCAGUGUGGAGGGAACGCGGGGAAGUGAAACAUCUCAGUACCCGCAGGAAGAGAAAACAACCGUGAUUCCGGGAGUAGUGGCGAGCGAAACUGGAUGAGGCCAAACCGUAUGCGUGUGAGACCCGGCAGGGGUUGCGCAUGCGGGGUUGUGGGAUCUCUCUUCUGUCGUCUGCCGGCGACAGGACGAGUCAGAAACCGUUGAUGUAGGCGAAGGACAUGCGAAAGGUCCGGCGUAGAGGGUAAGACCCCCGUAGUCGAAACGUCAGCGGCUCGUUUGAGAGACACCCAAGUAGCACGGGGCCCGAGAAAUCCCGUGUGAAUCUGGCGGGACCACCCGCUAAGCCUAAAUAUUCCCUGGUGACCGAUAGCGGAUAGUACCGUGAGGGAAUGGUGAAAAGUACCCCGGGAGGGGAGUGAAAUAGUACCUGAAACCGUGUGCCUACAAGCCGUGGGAGCGUCGGANNNNNNNNUCUCGUGACUGCGUGCCUUUUGAAGAAUGAGCCUGCGAGUUUGCGGUGUGUUGCGAGGUUAACCCGUGUGGGGAAGCCGUAGCGAAAGCGAGUCCGAAUAGGGCGUUUUUAGUAGCACGCUCAAGACCCGAAGCGGAGUGAUCUAGCCAUGGGCAGGUUGAAGCGGAGGUAAGACUUCGUGGAGGACCGAACCCACCAGGGUUGAAAACCUGGGGGAUGACCUGUGGUUAGGGGUGAAAGGCCAAUCAAACUCCGUGAUAGCUGGUUCUCCCCGAAAUGCAUUUAGGUGCAGCGUCGUGUGUUUCUUGCCGGAGGUAGAGCACUGGAUAGGCGAUGGGCCCUACCGGGUUACUGACCUUAGCCAAACUCCGAAUGCCGGUAAGUGAGAGCGCGGCAGUGAGACUGUGGGGGAUAAGCUCCAUGGUCGAGAGGGAAACAGCCCAGAGCAUCGACUAAGGCCCCUAAGCGUACGCUAAGUGGGAAAGGAUGUGGAGUCGCAGAGACAACCAGGAGGUUGGCUUAGAAGCAGCCACCCUUGAAAGAGUGCGUAAUAGCUCACUGGUCUAGUGAUUCCGCGCCGACAAUGUAGCGGGGCUCAAGCGUACCGCCGAAGUCGUGUCAUUGCAGCAGAUAGCCCCAACGGGUGCUGUGAUGGGUAGGGGAGCGUCGUCUGCCGGGUGAAGCGGCACUGGAAGGUAGUCGUGGACGGUUGACGAGUGAGAAUGCAGGCAUGAGUAGCGAUACAAACGUGAGAAACGUUUGCGCCGAUUGACUAAGGGUUCCUGGGUCAAGCUGAUCUGCCCAGGGUAAGUCGGGACCUAAGGCGAGGCCGACAGGCGUAGUCGAUGGAUAACCGGUUGAUAUUCCGGUACCCGCUGUGAAGCGUCAAACAUCGAAUCCAGUGAUGCUAAGGCCGUGAAGCCGCCCCGGAGCCUUCGGGCAAAGGGGAGUGGUGGAGCCGCUGACCCAAGUUGGUAGUAGGUGAGUGAUGGGGUGACGCAGGAAGGUAGUCCAUCCCGGGCGGUGGUUGUCCCGGGGUAAGGGUGUAGGACGNNNNNNNNGUCUGAGACCUGAUGCCGAGCCGAUUGUGGUGAAGUGGAUGAUCCUAUGCUGUCGAGAAAAGCCUCUAGCGAGUUUCAUGGCGGCCCGUACCCUAAACCGACUCAGGUGGUCAGGUAGAGAAUACCGAGGCGUUCGGGUGAACUAUGGUUAAGGAACUCGGCAAAAUGCCCCCGUAACUUCGGGAGAAGGGGGGCCACACCUGGUGAUGAGCUUUGCGCUCUGAGCUGGGGGUGGCCGCAGAGACCAGCGAGAAGCGACUGUUUACUAAAAACACAGGUCCGUGCGAAGCCGUAAGGCGAUGUAUACGGACUGACGCCUGCCCGGUGCUGGAACGUUAAGGGGACCGGUUAGCUCACUUUCGGGUGGGCGAAGCUGAGAACUUAAGCGCCAGUAAACGGCGGUGGUAACUAUAACCAUCCUAAGGUAGCGAAAUUCCUUGUCGGGUAAGUUCCGACCUGCACGAAUGGCGUAACGACUUCUCGACUGUCUCAACCAUAGGCCCGGUGAAAUUGCACUACGAGUAAAGAUGCUCGUUUCGCGCAGCAGGACGGAAAGACCCCGGGACCUUUACUACAGUUUGAUAUUGGUGUUCGGUUCGGCUUGUGUAGGAUAGCUGGGAGACUUUGAAGCAGGCACGCCAGUGUUUGUGGAGUCGUCGUUGAAAUACCAGUCUGGUCGUGCUGGAUGUCUAACCUGGGUCCGUGAUCCGGAUCAGGGACAGUGUCUGAUGGGUAGUUUAACUGGGGCGGUUGCCUCCUAAAGGGUAACGGAGGCGCCCAAAGGUUCCCUCAGCCUGGUUGGCAAUCAGGUGUUGAGUGUAAGUGCACAAGGGAGCUUGACUGUGAGACCGACGGGUCGAGCAGGGACGAAAGUCGGGACUAGUGAUCCGGCGGUGGCUUGUGGAAGCGCCGUCGCUCAACGGAUAAAAGGUACCCCGGGGAUAACAGGCUGAUCUUCCCCAAGAGUCCAUAUCGACGGGAUGGUUUGGCACCUCGAUGUCGGCUCGUCGCAUCCUGGGGCUGGAGUCGGUCCCAAGGGUUGGGCUGUUCGCCCAUUAAAGCGGUACGCGAGCUGGGUUUAGAACGUCGUGAGACAGUUCGGUCCCUAUCCGCUGUGCGCGUAGGAGUCUUGAGAAGGGCUGUCCCUAGUACGAGAGGACCGGGACGGACGAACCUCUGGUGUGCCAGUUGUUCUGCCAAGGGCAUGGCUGGUUGGCUACGUUCGGGAGGGAUAACCGCUGAAAGCAUCUAAGCGGGAAGCCUGCUUCGAGAUGAGGACUCCCACCCACUUGAUGGGGUAAGGCUCCCAGUAGACGACUGGGUUGAUAGGCCGGAUCUGGAAGCACAGUAAUGUGUGGAGGUGACCGGUACUAAUAGGCCGAGGGCUUGUCC